GUGUCCCGUGAAUGCUAAUACUGCCCUAUAAUUUUUACCAACUUGCUUCUUCCUUUGGAUGUUGCUUUAGAAUAAGCUGUCCAUGAGAAAAACUCUUCAAGUGUGCUACUUAGCUCCUUUGAGGGAUCUUAACAAGUCUGAAUUUGAGCAAUUUUAAAUCCAAGGCCUCUCUGGUAUUGAGUCCUUCAUGCCCUUCCCAACACGUAUACAUGAGGCCUUUGUAGAAGCCAUGAGUAAUCUGGGAAACAGUUAUUAGGGGGGAACACAGCAUGCUCAUUUACUUUCUUAGCAUUAAAAGAAAUAUGGUCUUUGCUAUUUCUAUAGCUGUCAUCCACAAGGACCAGAAUGAAGAGCAGGGAAAGGCUGAGCCAGAGAUAACAGAAGGAAAGCACAAGGUCUUUGUGGCUGAAAAUUCAGGCAGUCACCAGGAGGAGCCCUGAUGUUAGUGGGAGUACUUGAGCCUUGGGACUCAGGGAACAUGAGGUUCUCUGCAAUACAGGAGACUGUCUCCAGGUGCCCCCAACUACUGCUGCCAACAAGCUUGUCAUGCAGAGUUAAAGGAGAACAGGGACAUUUCAAUUUCAGGAGCAUCCAUGGGGUACAUGAAAAGCACUGAGCAAUCAGGAGAUGGAAGAUGGAUGUAGGAAGAGCAGAUAUUUUUGACAUCGUAGGAAUCUUCAGCUUUCAUGAAAGUGAUGAUAUUUUGGGAGGCAGUUCUCUUUCUAGAGUGCAUUAAGGUGUGAUGAGAGACUUCCCUGAGCAAAAAUUCCUGAAACAUUGAGUGGUCAAGGUGAGAGCCUAUUCUUCUCCAAAAAGCUUAGGGGAGUUCAGCUACAAGCAGCAUGUAGGAAAU
rnacentral:lncRNA from 1 species